AGUGGAAAUGGGAAGCUCCUACAUUCAGAGAGGGAACAUUUUCUGAGCCUGAAGCACUCCUGUUAAGUUUGUUUAAGACAUAGAAAUAAAGAUGCACCUUGAAGAACUCAUUUUCAUUAAGGCAUUCUGGCACGGUAAGGAGAGAGGACUUUUCCACAAAGAAGACACUGUGGACAUAAUUAGUGAGCACAGACAGAAGAAGAGCUGUAUCCCUGCAAGUUUAUCUGUGGGGCCUAACUCUCAGAGUGAUGCUAUGAGGAAGUGACACCGUUUGGAGGGAAUUAGGGUUAGAUGAGCCCAUGGGAGCUGGGCACCUGUGAUGGGAUUUGUGUUCCUGUAAGAACAAGAGAGGCCAUAGCAUGGUUACUCCUCUUCUCCCCCACCUCAUGCUCCUCUCUCACCUCUCAGAGGUCACAUGGGAACCCUAUGAGGAAGAAGCCAAAGAAGGCUUUCAUUAAGAGUCAAGUUUGCUAUGAUUUCAGUAUUCCUCCAGAAAUGGGAGUGUCUGCUUGUAGAAGCAUUUUGUUACAGCAACUGAGGGUGAGAAGGAUCGUUAGCAGUUCCAGUCUUUAACGACUAAUAAUUAAUUACUCCUGUGAUCACCUUCCCGAGAUAACCAGACCACUUCUGGGACUUUGCCUCUGAUUCUGUGAUGUCCUGCUCUCAUUGAAUACAGGAAGUGCAUCACUUACAAGAUUGAAGAGCUCAAACCAGGUCCAAAAUGGCAUGGGAGACUGCAAACUGGGCCCAGCUUUCAGUGGUGGAGGAGGGGUAGCCCCAGGGCAGUUCAUAGACAGGGGCUUUGUGGAACUGGAAGUUCCUAAUGGUUCUAUGGAAGAGGCACCCAGAAUUUUUUCUGUUUUCCUAGGAAUGAAGCAGAAGGAAUUGAGCUAGGACUGAGGCCUGAAAAUAUCAACACUGAAAAGUAAACAAAUGGAGCCUGACUUUAUUACAGGUCUGUGGCAAGGCAACGCAUCACUGCAGGGAGCAUGUGGAGGAAGCUGCUUUCCUCGGGGCCAGGACAUAAGCAAAGCCCAGGAGAAGAAAGUCAGUCCUAUAAUCACCCAUUAAGCACAACCCCCAAUGAUUCAAAGACAUGGACCCUUAGCCCACCUCUUAGAGGUUCUCUCUCUUUCCAUUAGCACUAAGCUGAGACUGAACUUCUAACAUAUAAGCUAGAAAUAAGGUUUCACUGGCUGUGUGGACAUUGUGUAGACCAGUCAAAUGGAUAUGUCAAGUGGCCCACUUCAAGAGCCGACCUCCAGGACCACAGCCUUACUAAUGUGUGUAUUGAUGUACAUGUCUUACUCGUUUGCUGGGCACUGGGUUAACACCUCAACUGGAGCCUUGUAUCCUUCAGCUAAGUUGAAUUUAUACCUCUGUGUGUUCUCCUACAUUCCCUUAAAUUUGAAUUUUCUAUAACAAAGAUGAACUUAACAGAUGGAGUCUACCCUCAUCCACUUCUUCAUUGUUUUGUUAUAAUUUCUUAAAGAUUUUCAA